UCCUACGGGAGGCAGCAGUGGGGAAUAUUGCACAAUGGGGGCAAGCCUGAUGCAGCCAUGCCGCGUGUAUGAAGAAGGCCUUCGGGUUGUAAAGUACUUUCAGCGGGGAGGAAGGGGUUAAGGUUAAUAACCUUAGCCAGUGACGUACUCGCAGA
rnacentral:rRNA from 1 species